rnacentral:misc_RNA from 1 species
AAAGCUUUUUGUUGGAAUGAUUCUGAUCCUUAUUUUUGCUGAAGCCUUGGCUCUUUACGGCCUUAUUGUCGGUAUCAUCCUUUCUUCUCGCGCUGGUCAAUCUAGAGCAGAGUAGAGAAAGAGUGUCACCUGUUCCAUAAUUGUGAAGUAUCUUUGUGUUCUUCCUCGUUUGAUGAGCUAGUUUGGCUGUUAAAUUACAUUUUGUUUAGUUUUGGCCUUCGUGAUUAUGUAUUUGAUUGCUUGGCAAAGAAGAUUCCCUCAAUAAAGAUAUCAAACUUUUCGGAUAUUUUUGAAAGACAAAUAAUUGAAUUGCUGUAAAAUGUUCCUUGUAUUAACUUUACUUUAAGCUUUCAUUUGUUUCUGUAUAUCUUUU